rnacentral:lncRNA from 1 species
CUUUAAUCAUCAAACAUCAUUUCCUGAUCCUAAUCCAAAAGGCAAGAACACCAAUUCAACAUCAAAUUCAAACCACAACAUAAAAAGGUAAGAUUUUUACUCAACUCUAAAUUUUUGCAUACUUUUGAGCUUACAUUUGAAAAUUGUGAUUUUGAUUAUUAAUAAGGAGAUGGGAUUAGGUAGUAACUGGGUUUUGUUGGUAGAUUUAGAAUGAUAAAUUUUGGAUUCAACUCAUUUAUCCUCUGUUAGAAGCUAAUUAGAUAGGUUUUGAUUGAAGUGCUUUCGUCUAACAACUGGAAUCUAGGCAGGAAUCAUUCAUAUGAAGUCUAGUCCAUGUAAUUCACCCUAAAAAAGGCAUUACACUUUUCAAGAAUGUAUGAGGUCAAAGUGUAGGAAGAAGCGUCCUACAUUUUGAGUUACUUCAAAAAAAAAAAAAAAAAAAAGGAGAAGAGAGAGAGAGAGAAGGACUAGCAUUGUGUGGUGUUACCUACCCAGAAUGGAGAGAAGAAAUAUUAGGAAAAAGCAUGCUGUUGUUGAUCUUCUCAAUAAUUGAGCAAAAUAGCUAACUCCAAGUGAGCUGAAAAUAAGAAUUAUUAAAAGAAAAUAGAGUGAAAAAGAAGAGCUAUGUAGGGAGGGGGGAAAAAAAGAAGAAAAAAGAAGAAGGAAAUCCUGUUCAUACUUGUCUACAUGGGUAUAUGAACAAUGAAAAAGGUAAAAGUGCUGCAUUUCCUAGCUAAACCUUGGACUCUUAACUUGGGGGCAAGAAUUUCUUUUGGAGGUUAUUAGCUAAGUUGAAGAUUGGAGGUUGAGAGACUCAACUCUCAGGAGAGUCAUAAUAAAUCGAGGUAGUGACUUCCAUUGGUUAAAUCAAUCGAACUUGAGUGAGAAAUGAAUGAGUCAUGGGAAUUCAACAUUUACAAUAGACCAUCGGAGAGUGAGAAUGUAUAACAAGUUUGGAGGUGUACAUCUUACUAGAGAAGAAUAACUAUUUGACGAUUGAGGGUUGGAAAAAUAAUUAACUUCGAAGUUUAUCUUGAAUAAAUUACCAUGCGAACACAUACAUCGAUCUAACAUUGGAUAGGUGAAUGAAUUAAUCCCGAUAGCAUCCCUUUGAAGCCAAUUAUGCAUUGUUCAAGUGAUUUCAAUACGUGAG